GACAGGGUUUCUCUGUAUUGUUUUGGAGGCUAUCGGUCCAGCCCAGCCUCGAACUCACAGAGAUCUGCCUGCCUCUGCCUCCCGAGUGCUGGGAUUAAAGGCGUGCGCCACCACCGCCCAGCUAGGAUGAUAAUUUUAAUGGCUAUAUAAUGCAUACAUUUAUUAAUGACAUCUAUAAUUGUACUAUAGAUAUAAAUUUAUGUAAAUAAUUAGAAAAUACCUAUGAUUGUCAUUAUUGAAGCAUAAUGUCAGAAUUCUUAAACUCAAAACACCUAAUUGUAUUAUCUUCCCUUAUCCUAGGCCAAAGUUUUAAGAAGGAAAACCAGAUAAUUUAAAGGGUUCCAACAGCAUAUAUACAAUUUUUUACUUUGAACAUAACACUUUCUAACAAUCUAUGGAUUACUUCUUAAAAUAUAGAUGAGUUAUGAAAGUUUUACAUAGUUACAAGAGGCUUUUAGAAACAAAUCUUAUGGAAUUAAUAUGUAAUUAGGUUAGCUAUCGCUUCAAUGUUGUUUAUAUGAUUUCCUGUAUGAUAUCUUCAUUAUGUGUGCCCUGCAUGAGUUUAUGUGCACCAUGUGUGUGGCAGCAUUGGGGAGCCAGAAGAGGACAUCAGAUACCUGGAACUGGAGUUGUGAACUUCCCUAUCCUGGCUGUGGCCACUCAUUGUUGGAUCCAGGAUAAACUAUCUCUUACUCCCUUUGAAGUGAGAACAGUGUUCUGCAGUGAGGAUGCAAGAUGCUUUACCAGGCUGGAGUCAUAAAAUUGUAAUACUAACCUCUUUGAUACCUGUGUGAUCCCGGUACAAGCCUCACUUCUGGGCAGUAGCAUGACUCAGGCAUUCUAAGCAGAGCCACUCUUUAUAAAAGGGAGUAAACACGAAUCACAUGGGAAGUCCUACUGUCAUGGUGUAGACAGUGGAAAUAACUAAAACAUUUUGUCUUGUCAGUUGCCAAUCUGCUCUUGUUGGUUUUAUUGUGUUUUCUUUGAAAAAUUUUUAUAGCUCUUAAUCUGUUGAUAUUCUACUACCAAAGAAGAAAAGGAAGGAGGAAGAAGGGGGAAGAGGAACAGGAAGAGAAGAAGCAGAAGCAGAAACCUCACCACUUUCAAUUAUGAAAUUAGUCCAUUUAACAGACACCACAGGAGGCUGAACUUAGAGCUGACCUUUAAAGAGAAAGAUAAGGAAAGGCUUCCAGACUGCAAAGGCGCAAAAAUGGAGCUGGAAAUGAAGAGCUCUGCCUGAUGCACAAAGAACUGGGAAUAGCGGUAGACUUAGCCUGAUCAUCUUUCUCUCUAGACCUCUCAUGUUGCUUAAAUUUGGCUAGCAAAAAGGAACUUUUGACAAUGGCUUCUCCGAAAAAAAAAUCAGUUACCUAGUGAUGAGGGACAAUCAAUGCCAAACUUGGAGAUGAUUUAUCAGAUUGUCUUCUGAGAAAAUGGUUCCAAGAUAAAGGUAGGAAUUGUCAUAGUCAAAAUGGAAUGGUUUAUGCCAAUCCUUCCCAAAGGAACACUAUCAGUCCCAAAGCAACUCAAGGGAGAGAGAGUUUAUUGUGCUUUAUGGUUCCAGAGGGAUUUGGAGUCCAUGGUGGCAGGAGGAGGCAUGGCAACAAGAAGCAGGCGCAACAGCAGGAGCAGGUCUUUGGGGGCUCACAUCUGGAACCAAGCAGGAAGCUGAAAGCAGUGAGCUGAAGCGGGCUGCUGGAUGACUGUCAAGGGGCUGCUAUUCUGGAGGAAGGGAAAGCCUGAAGCCUGGUGCCAGCUGGAGAAAGAGUGUGUAUCCUGAAAGGGAUCUCACUCUGUAAAGAGAAGCUUUUUCCUUGAGAGAAGCCUUCCCGCCAGCCUGGUUCCAGAGCCGCAUCAGUCCCAAAUAAACACACAGGAGGCUAUAUUAAUUAUGAA